AGUUCGAUCAUGGCUCAGAUUGAACGCUGGCGUAGGGAUGCUUUACACAUGCAAGUCGAACGGCAGCACGGACUUUCGGUCUGCGGCGAGUGGCGAACGGGUGGAGCAAUGUAUCGGAACGUGCCUAGUAGCGGGGGAUGGUCUGCCGAAAGCCGUAGCUAAUACCGCAUACGCCCUUCGGGGGAAAGCGGGGACCCGGGCCUCGCACUAUUAGAGCGGCUGUAUAUCGGAUUAGCUAGUUGGUGGGGUAACGGCUCACCAAGGCGACGAUCCGUAGCUAUUGAGAGGACGACCAGCCACACUGGGACUGAGACACGGCCCGGACUCCUGGAUGAAGGUGCAGCAGUGGGGAAUUUUGGACAAUGGGGGAAACCCUGAUCCAGCCAUCCUUAUGUGCGAUGAAGGCCUUCGGGUUGUAAAGCACUUUUGGCAGGAAAGAAACGGCACGGAUAAUACCCCGUGCAACUGACGGUACCUGCAGAAUAAGCACCGGCUAACUACGCCAGAAAGCCGGAACAGUGUGGGUGCAAGCGUUAACUGGAAUUACUGGGCGCAAAGCGUGCGCAGGCGGUUCGGAAAGAAAGAUGUGAAAUCCCAGAGCUUAACUUCCUCUUUGAACUGCAUUUUUUUAACUACCGAGCUAGAGUGUGUCAGAGGGAGGUGGAAUUCCGCGGCGGUAGCAGUGAAAUGCGUAGAUAUGCGGAGGAACACCGAUGGCGAAGGCAGCCUCCUGGGAUAACACUGACGCUCAUGCACGAAAGCGUGGGGAUAAACAGGAUUAGAUAAUUCUGGUAGUCCACGCCCUAAACGAUGUCAACCAGUUGGGCCUUCGGGCCUUUGGUAGCGCAGCGCCAACGUGCGAAGUUGACCGCAUUGGGGAGUAUUUGUGGUCGCAAGAUUAAAACUCAAAGGAAUUGACGGGGACCCGCACAAGCGGUGGAUGAUGUGGAUUAAUUGAUGCAACGCGAAAACCCUUACCCUAAAUUUUGACAUGUCUGGAAUCCCUUGAAGAGAUUUGGGAGUGCUCGCAAGAACCGGAACACAGAGGCGUAAUGGCUGUCGUCAGCUCGUGUCGUGAGAUGUUGGGUUAAGUCCUGGCAACGAGCGCAACCCUUUGUCAUUAGUUGCUACGAAAGGCACUCUGCAUCGAGACUGCCGGUGACAAAACCGGAGGAAGGUGGGAUGACGUCAAGUCCCUCAUGGCCCUUAUGGGUAGUGGGCUUCACACGUCAUACAAUGGUCGGGACAGAGGGUCGCCAACCCGCGAGGGAGCCAAUCCCAGAAACCCGAUCGUAGUCCGCCGGGAUCGCAGUCUGCAACUCGACUGCGUGAAGUCGGAAUCGCUAGCAAUCGCGGAUCAGCAUGUCGCGGUGAAUACGUUCCCGGGUCUUGUACACACUGCCCGUCACACCAUGGGGAGUGGUUUUACCAGAAGUAGUUGCCCAAUGCGGCGGGAGUGGCGAUUACCACGGUAGGAUUCAUGACUGGGUGAAGUCGUAACAAGGUAGCC
rnacentral:rRNA from 1 species